rnacentral:rRNA from 1 species
CCCGCUCAGAAACUUAAAGGAAUUGACGGGGACCCGCACAAGCAGCGGAGCAUGUGGUUUAAUUCGAAGCAACGCGAAGAACCUUACCAGAUCUUGACAUCCAAUUGACCAUCCUUUAAUCGAGAUUUUGCCUUCGGGUACAAUUGAGACAGGUGGUGCAUGGUUGUCGUCAGCUCGUGUCGUGAGAUGUUGGGUUAAGUCCCGCAACGAGCGCAACCCUUGUGUUUAGUUGCAAACAGGUCAAGCUGUGCACUCUAGACAGACUGCCGUGGACAACACGGAGGAAGGUGGGGAUGACGUCAAAUCAUCAUGCCCCUUAUGAUCUGGGCUACACACGUGCUACAAUGGCCGGUACAACGGGCAGCGAAGGAGCGAUCCGGAGCGAAUCCUAAAAAGCCGGUCCCAGUUCGGAUUGCAGGCUGAAACUCGCCUACAUGAAGUUGGAGUUGCUAGUAAUCGCGAAUCAGAAUGUCGCGGUGAAUGCGUUCCCGGGUCUU